GUGCUCGCUUCAGCAGCACAUAUACUAAAAUUGGAACGAUACAGAGAGGAUUAGCAUGCUCCCCCCCAAAAAAAUGAAUUACAUUAAAGAUCACUAAAUGUGAAUUCU
rnacentral:snRNA from 1 species